rnacentral:lncRNA from 1 species
GAAAAACCAGGUAAGCGAAGCAUUCGCUUCUUUCUGUGGAAGGAGGAAGGCAGUUCGGGGGAGAGUCUCGUCCCCUCGGCACUUGCUCGCGACGUUUUAGGUCGGUUCCGCGGCUCAAGAAAUGCCAAGGAGACUCUUCUUCGACAGGCAACGCUGCGUGUCGCUGCGCGAGAGCCACGCAGGCCUUUUCGCUAGUGUCUGGAGAGAGUUUCUUCCGCAGCCUUUUCCAGAAAAAAGAGUUCGAAUGCCCGGUCAAUCGCUCUCCGACCCAAACGUAGCGUUCUCUCACAACGCGGCCCAUAUGGAAAAAAGAAAAAACAGAGACCGAGUAACUUGGAGGUCUAGGACUGAAGUGCAGCCCUUUGAUUUCUUCUUUGAAGGAUCUUUUUCCAACUGCACUUGUGCCUGAUUUGACGUGCGUGUCAGCAGUUGAGGUACGGGGAGGCUGCCUGGGCCAAGCAGAAAGGCCGCAGGUGGGCAUUUCGUUUGUCUCGAGAUCCGUCACUUUUUCACAAGGCGCCGUGCACUGAAAGGCGAACAGACGUACCUGAUCCAGGAACUGUAACUGGGACUCUGCGUGCAGGGCAAGGUGGCUGAAGAUGCCAGGUUGUCUUUCUGUGGUUCUCGUUUGAGGAAAAACCCCAAGACGUACGAAAUGGAAUCGGUAGACAGUCGCGUCGGGGAAACAGGUUUCUGCGUCUCGCAGUGGGCCGGCCACGACCCCUUGAAAUGAAAAUCCCUUUUCCGCGGAAAAUGCAGCGAAAGACUGCGCCCAUCUGAGACUCUGCGGUCUGCGAAGAAUUUUCGAAGCGUGCGUGGCGAUGAAGGUCC